rnacentral:rRNA from 1 species
UACGUAGGUGACAAGCGUUGUCCGGAUUUACUGGGCGUAAAGAGCGCGCAGGCGGUCGUUCAAGUCGCGUGUGAAAGCCCCCGGCUCAACUGGGGAGGGUCACGCGAUACUGAUCGACUCGAAGGCAGGAGAGGGUAGUGGAAUUCCCGGUGUAGUGGUGAAAUGCGUAGAUAUCUGGAGGAACACCGGUGGCGAAGGCGGCAUCCUGGACCGGUAUUGACACUGAGGCGCGAAAGCCAGGGGAGCAAACGGG